UAGCAACGGGGCUCGAAGGCGGCCUAACCCUCCCGCCCAACUUUUCCCUCAGAGCAGGGCAACUGAGCUCUGCGAGGCCACUCACCGCACCGGCCGGCGGGCUGCCCCUGACAGAGGCACACACUUGACGCGAGUGGUCCCCCUGCCCCGAACGCCACACCUAAAGAAGCUGAACUUUUCUAAGGCCCGGGAUGCCGACCCAGGAGGUGGACGGGGUCUGCACCGGGACAAAGCGCGACAGCAAACGCGAAGCCCCGGCUUUCCGCGCGCAAAUGAGGAGAGCGGGGGCCGCACAACGGCGCCCGCGUGCCCCGGAGCCUGGCCUCCGCGGGCCGCACCCCAGGAACCAAGCAGGGAAGCCUGCCUCGAGCACAAAGCGGCGCGGUGUCAAAUAAAACGCUUUUCAACAGCACGGUCGCUAUCGCGACGGGAUGUUCCGACUUAUUCUCAGCCGUGGCCCAGGCGGCUGGUGCUGCCAGGCUCGCCCGUCGGGGGCGGGGGGUUUGGGGGGGAAGCUAAUACAACGUGAACGGGGUCAGAGCGUCUCUGCUGAGAGAAAGAUGGCACGAUUGCCCAUCCAAGCAUAAGUCUGAGCAUGAGUUUGAGGAGAAACAUUACCAUCUGCUUCACUGAACUGUGACGUGCAUGGAUCUGCCUUUAACAAACCACUACGGAGCCUUUUAGACUCCAGACCCUUCCAAAAACAACUUCAAACAUCAGACAAAGCCUAGUUAAAGGACAACAUUGGUAGGAAGAGUUGUUGGAAAGGCAUGCAGGUCAUCACUGAGGGCAGUCAGGGCAAGAGCCAAAGCAGACACUACGGAGGAGUACUGUCUUCCAGCUGGCUCUCCACUGCUUAUACAUCCAUUGCUUGAUUUCUGAUACAACCCGGGACCACCUGCCAAAGGGUGGCACUGCCCACAAUAGGCUGGGCCCUCUCACAUCACCCAUUAAUCAAGAAAAUACCCUUGGCACUAAGGCCAAUCUGGCUGGAACAUUUUCCCAACUUUUCUCUGACCCUAACAACAGGAAUAAUUUGACUAAAAGAGAUUACUCGGCAGUUAAAAAUGUUCUGCUCUUCAAGAGAACCAGAGUUCAAUUUUCAGCCUGUAAGAGCAGUUCCAGGGAGAUCCAACACCUCUAGUAGCCUCCUCAAGGAUGCACACACACAUUCACAGACCCUCACUUAGACACACAC